GAUGAACGCUGGCGGCGUGCCUAAUACAUGCAAGUAGAACGCUGAAGGAAGGAGCUUGCUCUUUCCGGAUGAGUUGCGAACGGGUGAGUAACGCGUAGGUAACCUGCCUGGUAGCGGGGGAUAACUAUUGGAAACGAUAGCUAAUACCGCGUAACAGUAGAUAUUGCAUGAUAUCUGCUUGAAAGGGGCAAUUGCUCCACUACCAGAUGGACCUGCGUUGUAUUAGCUAGUUGGUGAGGUAACGGCUCACCAAGGCGACGAUACAUAGCCGACCUGAGAGGGUGAUCGGCCACACUGGGACUGAGACACGGCCCAGACUCCUACGGGAGGCAGCAGUAGGGAAUCUUCGGCAAUGGACGGAAGUCUGACCGAGCAACGCCGCGUGAGUGAAGAAGGUUUUCGGAUCGUAAAGCUCUGUUGUAAGAGAAGAACGAGUGUGAGAGUGGAAAGUUCACACUGUGACG
rnacentral:rRNA from 1 species